rnacentral:rRNA from 1 species
GACGAAGGGGGCUAGCGUUGUUCGGAAUUACUGGGCGUAAAGCGCGUGUAGGCGGUUGUUCAAGUCAGGUGUGAAAGCCUUGAGCUCAACUCAAGAAAUGCACUUGAUACUGGAUGACUAGAGGACCGGAGAGGAUAGUGGAAUUCCCAGUGUAGUGGUGAAAUACGUAGAGAUUGGGAAGAACACCAGUGGCGAAGGCGGCUAUCUGGACGGUUUCUGACGCUAAGACGUGAAAGCGUGGGGAGCAAACAGG